rnacentral:rRNA from 1 species
AGAGUUUGAUCAUGGCUCAGAACGUACGCUGGCGGCACGCCUAAUACAUGCAAGUCGAACGAAGUAGCAAUACUUAGUGGCAGACGGGUGAGUAACAUGUAGGUAUCUUCCCUUUGGUGAGGAAUAACACGAGGAAACUUGUGCUAAUACCUCAUAAGUCUUUACGGAGAAAGCUUUAUGCGCCAAUGGAUGAGCCUGCACUUGAUUAGUUUGUUGGUAGGGUAAUGGCCUACCAAGACAAUGAUCAAUAGCUGAUUUGAGAGGAUGAUCAGCCACAUUGGGACUGAGACACGGCCCAAACUCCUACGGGAGGCAGCAGUAGGGAAUCUUGCACAAUGGGGGAAACCCUGAUGCAGCGAUGCCGCGUGAGUGAAGAAGGCCUUUGGGUUGUAAAGCUCUUUCGUCGGGGAAGAAAAUGACUGUACCCGAAUAAGAAGGUCCGGCUAACUUCGUGCCAGCAGCCGCGGUAAUACGAAGGGACCUAGCGUAGUUCGGAAUUACUGGGCUUAAAGAGUUCGUAGGUGGUUAAAAAAGUUGGUGGUGAAAUCCCAGAGCUUAACUCUGGAACUGCCAUCAAAACUUUUUAGCUAGAGUGUGAUAGAGGAAAGCAGAAUUUCUAGUGUAGAGGUGAAAUUCGUAGAUAUUAGAAAGAAUACCAAUUGCGAAGGCAGCUUUCUGGAUCAUUACUGACACUGAGGAACGAAAGCAUGGGUAGCGAAGAGGAUUAGAUACCCUCGUAGUCCAUGCCGUAAACGAUGUGUGUUAGACGUUGGAAAUUUAUUUUCAGUGUCGCAGCGAAAGCAAUAAACACACCGCCUGGGGAGUACGACCGCAAGGUUAAAACUCAAAUGAAUUGACGGGGACCCGCACAAGUAGUGGAGCAUGUGGUUUAAUUCGAAGAUACGCGCAGAACCUUACCAACACUUGACAUGUUCGUCGCGACUUUAAGAGAUUAAAGUUUUCGGUUCGGCCGGACGAAACACAGGUGCUGCAUGGCUGUCGUCAGCUCGUGUCGUGAGAUGUUGGGUUAAGUCCCGCAACGAGCGCAACCCUCACUUUUAGUUGCUACCAUUUAGUUGGGCACUCUGAAAGAACUGCCAGUGAUAAGCUGGAGGAAGGUGGGGAUGACGUCAAGUCCUCAUGGCCCUUACGUGUUGGGCUACACACGUGCUACAAUGGCAUUUACAAUAGGAAGCAAGACGGCGACGUUAAGCAAAUCCUAAAAAAAUGCCUCAGUUCGGAUUGUACUCUGCAACUCGAGUACAUGAAGCUGGAAUUACUAGUAAUCGCGGAUCAGCGCGCCGCGGUGAAUACGUUCCCGGGUCUUGUACACACCGCCCGUCACACCAUGGGAGUUGGUUCUACCUUAAGGCAAAGGUUAAAAACUUUGACCACGGUAUAGUCAGCGACUGGGGUGAAGUCGUAACAAGGUAGCCGUA